CCCACCCGUCGUUCUCACUUCUCAAUCUCAACCCUAAACUGAUAGUACUCCGUAACUUCUAUGCUCUCUCAAAUCACUGGUUUCAGAUCUACAUUUCUAAUAAUCUCUUUCAAUAAGUUCUCCUCUUUCUCUUCAUUUCUUUGAAAUUCACUUUUCAUCUCCUAAAAAUCCAAUGAAUUUUUAAAAAUAUUUGAUUUUUUUCACCUAUUUUUCAGGAUUCAUCGCUCUCAGAUCUCGGUUCUAUGAUUUCGUUCAACGUCGUUGAACACGAUUCCGGAUACUUUGAAGGUAGUCAGUUUUAUACAAAGAUAUCAGGAGAGUUAUUCGAUUCAAUUGAUGGUAUUGUAUCUUGGUGAAACUGGAUUUGUUUCUCGAAGCUGUACAAAUUUGCUGAGGCAGGAUUUAAUCUCGCGAAGUUUCUCGACGUUGUUAGAAGUCGAACUAUUGUCUCGACAUUAAAUAGCAUCGAGAAUUAGUCACGUGUGCAGCAUGUGUCUUUAACUCUAAAAUUCUACCGCUAGCCCCUGGUCUUCCAGUUUUAGUUUGGUGAAACAAGAAACCGCCAACACCAAAACCCUAAAAAAGAAAAAGAAAAAAGAACACCUCUCGUCGAUCUGUUGCUCGAUCUUGGUCUGCUACCUUCAACCCUCCAUUGAAAUCACAAUUCUCAUAGUAUGGCGGAAGGUUACAAGCUUUUUCACUUUCACCGGGACCACUUUGUGAUUCCUGAAGAUACAAAGUAUGACAACUUAGCUCUCCCAACGUCUUGAUAGAGUAUGGAGGCAAUAGAAGUUUGAAUUUAAGAGAAAAUACAACGAACCAGAUGAGUAAACAAUCGAAGAACUUAAAAAAGAUGUGCCAACUGGAGUUUCCAAGCAAGACUAGGUGAACUUGGUCAGCUAUUAGGAAUCACCCAAAGGGAAAGAAGAUGAACUUGAAGAAGGUAUGAGCCUAGUAGAACUUUGGCAAGCUUCUCAUAGGAAGAAGGAUGGAACCUUUAUUGUCGGCACAUUCACUGAAGAGAUAAAAGAAAAGUACAAUGAGAAUGCAAAACUGAUUAAGACAAUGAACAUAGCUGUUUUCUCAGGUUUUAGAAUCUGUUUGCAGUGGAGACGUUUCGACGCAACUAGACGCUACACAAACAGCCUUGUGUAUGGCUAACCCUCUGGCCCGUGAUGCGUUUGAAGAUUAUGGUGGUGGAAGAAAGGAAUAUAGGCCGGGAUGAUGCAUAGCUCCUUCAACUAUGAAGCCCAUAUACUUGAACUUAUAGGCCUUGAAUGGCUUUUGUUUUUAAGAUGACAUUUUAGAAUAAUAGGGCGAUUGGAAUUGUAAUAUUUAUAGAAGACGUUGUGUUAGUUUUAAGUUUGUGCUUUGGUGAUAAUGUAUAAACUUUGAUGAUAUGUUUAUAACGUAUUAUUAUAUAAAUUAAUAUUAGUACAAAUAUCUUUAAGUUAUCGA